rnacentral:rRNA from 1 species
GAUGAACGCUGGCGGCGUGCCUAAUACAUGCAAGUCGAGCGAACGGACGAGAAGCUUGCUUCUCUGAUGUUAGCGGCGGACGGGUGAGUAACACGUGGAUAACCUACCUAUAAGACUGGGAUAACUUCGGGAAACCGGAGCUAAUACCGGAUAAUAUUUUGAACCGCAUGGUUCAAAAGUGAAAGACGGUCUUGCUGUCACUUAUAGAUGGAUCCGCGCUGCAUUAGCUAGUUGGUAAGGUAACGGCUUACCAAGGCAACGAUGCAUAGCCGACCUGAGAGGGUGAUCGGCCACACUGGAACUGAGACACGGUCCAGACUCCUACGGGAGGCAGCAGUAGGGAAUCUUCCGCAAUGGGCGAAAGCCUGACGGAGCAACGCCGCGUGAGUGAUGAAGGUCUUCGGAUCGUAAAACUCUGUUAUUAGGGAAGAACAUAUGUGUAAGUAACUGUGCACAUCUUGACGGUACCUAAUCAGAAAGCCACGGCUAACUACGUGCCAGCAGCCGCGGUAAUACGUAGGUGGCAAGCGUUAUCCGGAAUUUAUGGGCGNUAAGCGCGCGUAGCGGUUUUUUAGUCUGAUGUGAAAGCCCACGGCUCAACCGUGGAGGGUCAUUGGAAACUGGAAAACUUGAGUGCAGAAGAGGAAAGUGGAAUUCCAUGUGUAGCGGUGAAAUGCGCAGAGAUAUGGAGGAACACCAGUGGCGAAGGCGACUUUCUGGUCUGUAACUGACGCUGAUGUGCGAAAGCGUGGGGAUCAAACAGGAUUAGAUACCCUGGUAGUCCACGCCGUAAACGAUGAGUGCUAAGUGUUAGGGGGUUUCCGCCCCUUAGUGCUGCAGCUAACGCAUUAAGCACUCCGCCUGGGGAGUACGACCGCAAGGUUGAAACUCAAAGGAAUUGACGGGGACCCGCACAAGCGGUGGAGCAUGUGGUUUAAUUCGAAGCAACGCGAAGAACCUUACCAAAUCUUGACAUCCUUUGACAACUCUAGAGAUAGAGCCUUCCCCUUCGGGGGACAAAGUGACAGGUGGUGCAUGGUUGUCGUCAGCUCGUGUCGUGAGAUGUUGGGUUAAGUCCCGCAACGAGCGCAACCCUUAAGCUUAGUUGCCAUCAUUAAGUUGGGCACUCUAAGUUGACUGCCGGUGACAAACCGGAGGAAGGUGGGGAUGACGUCAAAUCAUCAUGCCCCUUAUGAUUUGGGCUACACACGUGCUACAAUGGACAAUACAAAGGGCAGCGAAACCGCGAGGUCAAGCAAAUCCCAUAAAGUUGUUCUCAGUUCGGAUUGUAGUCUGCAACUCGACUACAUGAAGCUGGAAUCGCUAGUAAUCGUAGAUCAGCAUGCUACGGUGAAUACGUUCCCGGGUCU